UACAGAGGUGGCAAGCGUUGUUCGGAAUUACUGGGCGUAAAGGGCGCGUAGGCGGCCCGCUAAGUCGGACGUGAAAUCCCCGAGCUCAACUCGGGAACUGCGUCCGAUACUGGUGGGCUUGAAUCCGGGAGAGGGAUGCGGAAUUCCAGGUGUAGCGGUGAAAUGCGUAGAUAUCUGGAGGAACACCGGUGGCGAAGGCGGCAUCCUGGACCGGCAUUGACGCUGAGGCGCGAAAGCUAGGGGAGCAAACGGG
rnacentral:rRNA from 1 species